AUGCUAGCCAAAGCCCUUAUAUUUUUUAUUUUUUUUAUUUUUUUAAAUAAAUCAUUUAUUAAAUGUAAAAGUUUUAUAUUUAAUUAUUUUAGUGAUAAAUAUUGUAAUGACACUUUGGAACAUUUGUAUGAAAAAUGUUUAAACGUUCCUAACACAAUAUGUGUAGGAGGAACAACACAAGUUAUUGGUUCAAAUAACAUUCAUAAGGGACUUAUAGGAAAAUGGAAAUUUGAUGAUAUUUAUGCAAUUGAUUAUAGUGCAAAUAAAAAUAAUAUGCACAAAAUAAUAAGACCUUCUCCAGGUUUUAACGGUCAUGGUUAUAGUGGUGCUUUUAUAGGGGAUAUAUAUGGUUUUGUCGCUGCUAACGAUUCUCUAAAAACAGCUCAGUUUACCAUAGCAUUCUGGAUUUAUUUACUAGAGAGAUCAACACACAAUUUUAGAAACAUAUUUUCGCAAACGUAAGAAUUUUUUAAAAAUUGUUUUGAUAUAUUUAUGUAUGUACAUGCGCAUAUGUGUACAUAUACCAUAUAUACUGCUGUUAUGUCUCAUAUAUACCGAUGUUA
rnacentral:lncRNA from 1 species